rnacentral:rRNA from 1 species
CUGGCGGCGUGCCUAAUACAUGCAAGUCGAGCGGACCAAAGGGAGCUUGCUCCUGGAGGUUAGCGGCGAACGGGUGAGUAACACGUGGGCAACCUGCCUGUAAGACUGGGAUAACAUCGAGAAAUCGGUGCUAAUACCGGAUAAUAAAAAGAACUGCAUGGUCUUUUUGAAAGAUGGUUUCGGCUAUCACUUACAGAUGGGCCCGCGGCGCAUUAGCUAGUUGGUGAGGUAACGGCUCACCAAGGCAACGAUGCGUAGCCGACCUGAGAGGGUGAUCGGCCACACUGGGACUGAGACACGGCCCAGACUCCUACGGGAGGCAGCAGUAGGGAAUCUUCCGCAAUGGACGAAAGUCUGACGGAGCAACGCCGCGUGAGUGAUGAAGGUUUUCGGACCGUAAAACUCUGUUGUUAGGGAAGAACAAGUGCCGUUCGAAAGGGCGGCACCUUGACGGUACCUAACGAGAAAGCCACGGCUAACUACGUG